rnacentral:rRNA from 1 species
UGGGGAAUUUUGCACAAUGGGGGAAACCCUGAUGCAGCGACGCCGCGUGAUUUAGAAGGCCUUCGGGUUGUAAAAAUCUUUUCUAUGGGAAGAAAAUGACAGUACCAUAGGAAUAAGGACCGGCUAAUUACGUGCCAGCAGCCGCGGUAAUACGUAAGGUCCGAGCGGUGUCCGGAAUCAUUGGGCGUAAAGGGUACGUAGGCGGGUAAGCAAGUUAGAAGUGAAAUCCUAUAGCUCAACUAUAGUAAGCUUUUAAAACUGCUCAUCUUGAGGUAUGGAAGGGAAAGUGGAAUUCCUAGUGUAGCGGUGAAAUGCGCAGAUAUUAGGAGGAAUACCGGUGGCGAAGGCGACUUUCUGGCCAUAACCUGACGCUGAGGUACGAAAGCGUGGGUAGCAAACAGG